AUACGUAGGGGGCGAGCGUUGUCCGGAAUUACUGGGCGUAAAGGGUGCGUAGGUGGCACUUUAAGUUGGAUGUGAAAUCCCCGUGCUUAACAUGGGAGCUGCAUCCAAUACUGGAGAGCUAGAGUGCAGGAGAGGUAAGCGGAAUUCCUAGUGUAGCGGUGAAAUGCGUAGAUAUUAGGAGGAACACCAGUGGCGAAGGCGGCUUACUGGACUGUAACUGACACUGAGGCACGAAAGCGUGGGGAGCAAACAGGAUUAGAUACCCUGGUAGUCCACGCUGUAAACGAUGAAUACUAGGUGUAGGGGGUAUCAACUCCCUCUGUGCCGCAGCAAACGCAAUAAGUAUUCCGCCUGGGGAGUACGGCCGCAAGGUUGAAACUCGAAUGAAUUGACGGGG
rnacentral:rRNA from 1 species